CCGACCUUAGCUCAGUUGGUAGAGCGGAGGACUGUAGUGGAUAAACAGAUAUCCUUAGGUCGCUGGUUCGAAUCCGGCAGGUCGGA
rnacentral:tRNA from 2 species